rnacentral:lncRNA from 1 species
UCAGAAUAAGACGCCAAAACAAAGCUUGCAUAGCGGGCACAACUGAAAAUUUUCAUUUUUCAUUGUUCUUGAUUAUUGUAUGUGAUGGUGAUUUCCUUUUGAUGAGAUAUUGUCUGCCUGUUGUACAACGAGUUCUUUAAACCAAUGCACUUAAGACCAAGGAACUAAAAGCUAACAGCCAAAACAGAAAAGAAUCAAGUUUAUCGUUUGCUCGAUUUCAAACAGAUGAUACAUUUCAAUAGGUCUCUACUCCUGAAUACCUUGAGGAAAUGAAAGACUUGCAAAAAGAAAUAACAAGUUCCAUUCAGCAUUCUGCUGUACAAUAUAAAAUGAUAUACAAUAGAAUCUCUUUAUAGUGAUUACACUGAUACCUAUGAUUAUAAGAAAAUUAUAACUUAAUGGAGGUUUAAGUAUUAAAUUUUUUUUUUAAAAUUAAUACUUAAUCUGUUUGUGAUAUACGAUAGAAACAAAAAAUAAAAUAUGUUAAUAUCUUGACAUAUUAUAUAAAUAAAAUAAAUGAGACCAAAUAAUACUAUAGCAAGUCAAAAUAUAGCAUAGCAUAUAUUUUUUAAAAUUAUAUAUAUAAAUAUUACUAUAUAGAGAAAAAAUUUCUUAAGACGGAACUUAAAAAUUUUAUAAGUUAUUAUAAUAGAGAGUUGAUUUCUAUAUAAUUUCAUAUUAUACAAAUAAUAUUAAUGAGACCAAAUAAUACUUCAGUGAGUCAAAAUAUAAUAUAAUAUAUAUUCUUUAAAAUUGUAUAUACAAAUAUUACUAUAUAGAGAAAAAAUUUCUUAAAACGGAACUUAAAAAUUUUAUAAGUUAAUAUAUAGAGAGUUGAUUUCUAUAUAAUUUCAUAUCAUACAAAUAAGAUUAAUGAGACCAAAUAAUACAACAUUAAGUCAAAAUAUAAUAUAAUAUAUAUUUUUUAAAAUUGUAUAGAUAAAUAUUAUUAUAUAAAAAAAUAUUUUCUCAUGACAUAAUUUAAAAAACUUAUAAGUUAUUAUAAUAGAGAGUUUAUUUCUAUUUAAAAUAUAUCAAAUUGAAAUUAAAUUUUUUUAUCAUUAUAUAUAAAUUAUUUCUAUAUAGAAUAUCACUGUAAGAGUUCUAAUAGAAUAACAUUAAUAAAAAGAUAAGUACAUUUUAUGCUUUUGAGAAAAGUUUUCAAGUGCUAAGAUCCAAUUGAAAUCAUUGUUUACUAAUGAAUAGUGUCUUUUUCUUAAGUUUACUAUUUUCUUAUUUAUUAAUAGGACUACUAUAGAGUUUGAACUCAAAAUUGAAAUAAAACUAAUAUAAGAAUUAGCCAAAUAAUAUUUGUUGUCCCUAUAUGAUAAAAUUUAUUUUCAUCAUGCAUUAUUUCAAGUAUAUGAUGAAAUUUAUAAAGGUUUAACAUCUAUUUGUUAUUAGAUGUUUUAAUUAUACAAGCUCAAAAGGUUUUAGCAUUAGUGAGGAAAAUUUUGUUUAUACACUAUGCUAAAAGUAUUGUGGAUAAUAUAAUAUAAAUAGUCAUUCUCUUUACAUAUUUUAAAUUAUAAAAAUAAUAUUUAUUUAAAAAAAACACGCUCAUGAUUUUAUAUAUUUUUAAUUGAAUUAACUUGUUUAAGAAUAUUAAUAUUAGUAAUUGAAUGUCAAACUUUAAUUAAAUAAAGAAAUGUAAAUACUUAUAAGUUAUAUAUUAAUAUUUUUAUGUUAAGGCUGGUUCUGAACACCGCAUGACAUCAUCUUCAACCAACAUCCACAUAAGCAAUAAAAGUUUAUGGCUAAAGUAUCACAUGAAAACUAAUUUCUUAUGUGAUUUACCCUUUAAACCACUAAUUGAUAUUUGUUAGACUUUUAAUCUUAACAAGGCAUUGGUAUGUAAAGUGAAUAACUUGAUAGAUUGCUAAAGAAGAAGUCAAUUGUUCAUGAAAGCCUUUGAAAUAAUCAAAUUAUCUAUUGAGAUAUAGUACUCACCUUGAUACUUGCCUUUGCAUGGUAUCCCUCCCCUCCACACUUGCAUUAGAGUAUAUAUCCUAAAUCCAUCCUUAAUAGGGGAUGCCUCCUUUACAAACUCACAACCCAAAAUUUGCUUGUCAAACAAGCCUUUCAUAGUUUUGUUUCUCACACAAAUAAUUGUGGUGCAAGUUCUCCUUUUAUAGGCCAUUUGAACACAAAUUAGGGCACCAUUCUUGU